GUCCAGGGAUGGGAAUCGAACCCACAGUGUAACACUUACCGGGCAGAUGCCAUGUCCACUAGGCUACCCUGGA
rnacentral:tRNA from 1 species